UGCAGAUGUAAUUAAAGACAUAACUCAGAUGGUAUCUCUAUUUAUUUAGCUAGAACAUGCACCCACAACUGAUAAUUGCAGAACUCUGUUUCCAUAGUUACCAUUAAAUGAGACUGAGAGCAGUCUGUCAAUGACAAAUUUACUACAAUCAGGGGUGUAGUAUUUCUGCAUUAAAAAACAACAACUAACAACACUGAAUUUCAAAGUUAUGCUAUCAUAGAAGAAAGAUACCUAGUUUUUAUGCUCUUGGCAUUUAAAGGGAUUGAAUGAUUCUCGAGGGACUGAGUCUCACAGUUCUUCCACCAACUCCACUUAUGCACUCAUGAGUAAUCUUCACCAUUUUGAGAGAAGUGCCUUCCACCAAGAAUACGGACUGUGAGCAGAAGUGCAAAAAUUGAGGCUUUAAGCUGGAACAAAUCAGACAAUAGCAGCUGCACGCAGAUGAGCGGGCACAGCCUUUGAAAACAUGAGAAACAAGGAGGUUGUGCAGGGACAAGUAAGUAUUUGAAAGCAUGCCGGUUCUUCUCUGAUGUACCAAGUACUAAAUGUGCG
rnacentral:lncRNA from 1 species